UACGGAGGUGGCAAGCGUUGUUCGGAAUUACUGGGCGUAAAGGGCGCGUAGGCGGAAUGGUCCGUCCGAUGUGAAAGUGCUACCGCUCAACGGAGCAAAGCCAUCGGAUACCACCAUUCUUGAGUUCGGGAGAGGUGAGUGGAAUUGCUGGUGUAGCGGUGGAAUGUAUAGAUAUCAGCAAGAACACCGGUGGCGAAGGCGGCUCACUGGCCCGAUUCUGACGCUGAGUGCGCGAAAGCGUGGGGAGCAAACGGG
rnacentral:rRNA from 1 species